rnacentral:rRNA from 1 species
GCGCCUUAUGCAUGCAAGUCGAGCGAAGCUUUUCAGUAGUUUACUACAGAAAAUGACUGAGCGGCGAACGGGUGAGUAACGCGUGAGCAAUCUACCUUAGUUACAGGGAUAGCCCGAGGAAACUCGGAUUAAUACCUGAUAUUCUUUAAAUUUCGCAUGAAAUUAAAAGGAAAGGUCAGCCGAACUAAGAUGAGCUCGCGUUCUAUCAGCUAGUUGGUGAGGUAAAAGCUCACCAAGGCUACGACGGAUAGCUGGUCUGAGAGGACGAUCAGCCACACUGGGACUGAGACACGGCCCAGACUCCUACGGGAGGCUGCAGCAGGGAAUAUUGCGCAAUGAGCGAAAGCUUGACGCAGCGACACCGCGUGUGGGAUGACGGAUCUAGGUUUGUAAACCACUUUCAGGAGGGAAGAAAAUGACGGUACCUCCACAAGAAGCCCCGGCCAACUAC